GGCUGUCCACUCCCUGGGGCUGACCUGCAGAAAGCCAGCUACUGCUCACUCAGAUCCUCUUAGCCCCAUAAAAUGGAAACACCAGAGACUUGUAAUAUACCAGCCAGAUUUAUAACAGUAAAGCUCCAACCCUAAAGUGCACAAAGCUCAAUUGAUAUAAGUUCGAGCUGCUCACCUAGAUUGGGCAAACGUACCCUACCUUACUCUGUAUCUCCCGUCUAUGAUGUCCCUGGCUACUUGUGGCUUCUCCAGACCAGGUCUUGUGAUCUCUGUCAAGGGAACUUAGAGGAGACACAAACAGUGUAGUGCAGAGGAUGGGCAGAGAAUAGAACAUCAACGAAGGACAGGAGUGGCCAGAGGAACCACUGUACCAACCUGCUACUCGGGCUGGCUUUCAAUGAACUCCAAAGCGUUCCUGCUCAAGUGACUGGAAGGCCGGUGCGGACUGACUCAGUGGUGUGGUGCAAUGACAAAUGAAGCAUCCUUCCACUAACCUCAGACUACCAUGCUUCUCCCAGGGCAGAGGUACACCGCUAUUUUGCCUGCGUGCAUGUCCAUGCACCACACGCAUGUGGUGCCCAUGGAGGCUAGAACAACAUUGGAUACCCUGGGACUAGAGUUGCAGAGGAUUUCGAGCUGCCAUGUGGGCUCUGGGGACUGAUUCCGGGGUCUCUCAAGAAGCGGUAGUGCUCUUAACCGCAGAGUCACCUCUCUAGCACCUAUUUUUAUUAACUCUUCAACAACUCCGAUAUGUUUUGCUCACAUCCCCCCCUUUCCCAUCUCCUCCCAGACCCACCCAUUCACCAUUUCAUACCCACCUGCUUCAUUCUCUUUUUAAACCCAGUAAGUCCUAUUAGUCUGGCCUACGUAUCCCUGGGUGUAUGACCAUCUACUGAGUCAUGUUGGGCCCACAAUGAAGCACACAUUCAAAGAAAGCUGACCUUGUCUUUUGCAGCUGUCAAUUACUGAGAAUCCCGCCACUAGUGGGCGAGACUUCCUGUCUACCUUCCCCUCCAGGUUGUUAUAACCUCUGUGAGCUCAUGUGCCAACUGCUUUGUUGUGUUCCUAACACGAUCCGCUGUGUCUGUUUGCUGCAGUCUUUCCCAAUGAUGUAUGUAUGUACGACCUUGCGCGGAGACAGGUUUGAGGAUGAAGGAACUGCAGAGAUGGCUAGGUUGAUAAUGUGCUUGUUGUGACAGCGUGGUGACCUGAGUUUGUAUCCCCAGACCCCAAAGCUGGGUGUUUACACAAUAUAGCUGUGUAAACUCAGGGCGAAGGUUGGGGGAAGACAGGCUGGUCCCCGGAGCUCACUUAGUCUGGAUUGAUGAGUUCUUGGUUCAGGGAGAGGUCUUUCUUCCAAACUUAAGGUGGAAAGUGAACAAAUAUGACAGCAGGUAUGAGCUGUGGCCUUCACACAUGCACUUGCACUUCUUAAGAAAACCGAGGAGGAUCUGAGAGAUCGCUCAGUAGUUUAGAGCACUAGAUGUUCUUCCAGAACAUCCGGCACCCACAUGGCAGCUCAUAAACAUCUCCAAUUUCAGACAAUCAAAUGCCCUCUUUAGGCCUUGGCUGGUACUGCAUGCACAUGGUAUACAUACAUACAUACAUACAUACAUACAUACAUACAUGUAGGCAAAGCAUCCAUACAUAUAAAAUAAUAAAAAAAGAGUAAUUUUCUUUAGCAGCUGACCAGUAUACCUUUAUUUUAAAAAUUACUUUUUUUAUUUUGCAUAUGAGUGUUUUGCCUGAAUGCAUGCCUAUGUGUCAUGUGUGGGCGGUACCUAUGAAGAUUAUAUACUUAUAUAUUAAAUAUAAGAUACUAGAUGAUGAUAGAUGAUAUAUAUGUGGCAUUUAAAUAUGCCACAUAUUUAAAGUACUCAAUAAUUUUAUUCUUGUUAUUCUUGACCAUCCGUUCACUGUUUUAGUUAUUUUAUUCUUGACCAUCCAGUCCCUGUUUUAGUUGUUGUUUUUCUUGUGUCUAAAUAAAGUUUAAUAGCAAAUGAUGAAUGAAUACAGUCUGAAUAUUAGUUAAUAUUUUUAUUUAUGUUGAAUAAGACAAGUGAAACAAAAAACACGUAGGUCAGAAAGACGUUUAUCUGUGACUUCUUCUUCAAACUGAAUGCUGACUUUACUACAUUGGAAGGAUGUUCCUUCAUUUUAGAGCUACUCACAAUACAUUGCUGUGACUUUAAUAUAACUUAUGUUCAACAAUAGGUGGGUUAGUAUUAAGGAGCUUACGGCUUCGGUGUAGUGGGGAUGAAGUAAAGUGGGGUAGGUUUAAAUUCAUGUUUUUGGACUACAUAGAGACAACUCCUUUCUCCAUUUUACGGUUAUUAAAGUUAUUGACAAGGAGCAGCAGCUUAAUGAGGAAAAGGAGUUGUGAAAAGCGAAUGCUGUGUGUGCUUAGAGAAGAAAGAAA